GCCCGGACCCUGUCGCACCA
rnacentral:snRNA from 1 species